AAGUCGUAACAAGGUCUCCGUUGGUGAACCAGCGGAGGGAUCAUUACAGAGUUGCAAAACUCCCAACCAUUGUGAACGAACCCGUUAUAGUUGCUUCGGCGGGUGGUGCGCUGAAACCGCCCGCCGAUAGCAUGCAAUCUCUAGAUUACAAUGGCUCUCUGAGUAGCUUAUUUAAUAAGUCAAAACUUUCAACAACGGAUCUCUUGGUUCUG
rnacentral:misc_RNA from 1 species